rnacentral:rRNA from 1 species
AUGGCUCUUCAGGUGUGGAUGGUUGGGGAGGACGGUGAGGACCUCAAGAACCACAAGGAGCUCCUACCUCUCUCCAAGCUCCAAGAGAUUGGUGUGUUAUAUUGGCAUUUGGACCCAAAGAGGCCAGAAAGCGAAGAAGAGCUAGCGAAGAUCCGCAAAGACAGAGGAUAUAACUACAUGGAUCACCUCAAUAUAUGCCCUGGAAAGUUAGCAGACUUUGAGGAGAAGCUCAAGAACUUCUUCACAGAGCACAAGCAUGCCGACGAAGAGAUCCGCUACAGCUUGGAAGGCGGCGGGUACUUUGAUGUGCGCGACAAGGAUGACAAGUGGGUUCGGAUCUGGAUAAAAGAAGGGGAUAUCAUCGUGCUGCCGGCUGGAAUUUAUCAUCGGUUCACCCUCGACGCCGCCAACCAAGUGAAGCUCAUGAAGCUCUUCCUAGGAGAACCAGUGUGGACAGUGCACAACCGGCCUCAGGAGGACCAUCCGGUGUGGCAAGAGUAUGUGAAGAGGCUAACGGACGACAAUGCUGGUGGCCUCGCUGGCGCACCAUGGACGUCUCUGCUGCUGGCAAACGGCAAAAAAAGGAUUGGCCGAUCCAGUCGAGCAAGCUGUGGAAGAACAACUCGACUUAUGUAUGCUUUUUUAUCUAAUAUGGCUUAUUGUACCGCCGCCGCUGUUUUCGGUUUUUUGCUCACAUGCACUGUAUUUGUUGGAUGUAAUGCCUGA